AGAGUUUGAUCCUGGCUCAGGAUGAACGCUGGCGGCGUGCUUAACACAUGCAAGUCGAACGAACCUUCGGGUUAGUGGCGGACGGGUGAGUAACGCGUGGGAAUCUGCCCUCAGGAGGGGGAUAACGGUUGGAAACGGCCGCUAAUACCCCAUAUGCCGAGAGGUGAAAUGAAUUUCGCCUGAGGAUGAGCCCGCGUCUGAUUAGCUAGUUGGUGGGGUAAUGGCUCACCAAGGCAUCGAUCAGUAGCUGGUCUGAGAGGAUGAUCAGCCACACUGGGACUGAGACACGGCCCAGACUCCUACGGGAGGCAGCAGUGGGGAAUUUUCCGCAAUGGGCGCAAGCCUGACGGAGCAACGCCGCGUGAGGGAUGAAGGCCUCUGGGCUGUAAACCUCUUUUCUCAAGGAAGAAGAUCUGACGGUACUUGAGGAAUAAGCCACGGCUAAUUCCGUGCCAGCAGCCGCGGUAAUACGGGAGUGGCAAGCGUUAUCCGGAAUUAUUGGGCGUAAAGCGUCCGCAGGCGGCUUUUCAAGUCUGCUGUUAAAGCGUGGAGCUUAACUCCAUCAAGGCAGUGGAAACUGAUUGGCUUGAGUGUGGUAGGGGCAGAGGGAAUUCCCGGUGUAGCGGUGAAAUGCGUAGAUAUCGGGAAGAACACCAGUGGCGAAGGCGCUCUGCUGGGCCAUAACUGACGCUCAUGGACGAAAGCCAGGGGAGCGAAAGGGAUUAGAUACCCCUGUAGUCCUGGCCGUAAACGAUGAACACUAGGUGUCGGGGGAAUCGACCCCCUCGGUGUCGUAGCCAACGCGUUAAGUGUUCCGCCUGGGGAGUACGCACGCAAGUGUGAAACUCAAAGGAAUUGACGGGGGCCCGCACAAGCGGUGGAGUAUGUGGUUUAAUUCGAUGCAACGCGAAGAACCUUACCAGGGUUUGACAUCCUGCGAACCUCUAAGAAAUUAGAGGGUGCCUUUGGGAACGCAGUGACAGGUGGUGCAUGGCUGUCGUCAGCUCGUGUCGUGAGAUGUUGGGUUAAGUCCCGCAACGAGCGCAACCCACGUUUUUAGUUGCCAGCAUUCAGUUGGGCACUCUAGAGAGACCGCCGGUGAUAAACCGGAGGAAGGUGUGGAUGACGUCAAGUCAUCAUGCCCCUUACAUCCUGGGCUACACACGUACUACAAUGCUACGGACAAAGGGCAGCGAACUCGCGAGGGCAAGCAAAUCCCAUAAACCGUGGCUCAGUUCAGAUCGUAGGCUGCAACUCGCCUACGUGAAGAAGGAAUCGCUAGUAAUCGCAGGUCAGCAUACUGCGGUGAAUACGUUCCCGGGCCUUGUACACACCGCCCGUCACACCAUGGAAGUUGGCCACGCCCGAAGUCGUUACUCCAACCCUUGUGGAGGAGGACGCCGAAGGUGGGGCUGAUGACUGGGGUGAAGUCGUAACAAGGUAGCCGUACCGGAAGGUGCGGCUG
rnacentral:rRNA from 1 species